rnacentral:rRNA from 1 species
GACGAACGCUGGCGGCGUGGAUUAGGCAUGCAAGUCGAACGGUAUCAUCCUUUCGGGGAUGAGAGAGUGGCGAACGGGUGAGUAACACGUAGGUGAUCUACCCUCAAGACGGGGACAACCCAGGGAAACUUGGGCUAAUACCGGAUGUGAGCUAUCGUGAGAUAGUUUGAAAGGUGGCUUCGGCUGCCGCUUGAGGAUGAGCCUGCGUCCUAUUAGCUAGUUGGUGAGGUAACGGCUCACCGAGGCAGUGAUAGGUAGGCGGCCUUAACGGGUGGUCGCCCACACUGGGAUUGAGAUACGGCCCAGACUCCUACGGGAGGCAGCAGUCGAGAAUAGUCUACAAUGGUCGAAAGACUGAUAGUGCGACGCCGCGUGAACGAAGAAGCCCUUCGGGGUGUAAAGUUCUUUUAUAUGUGAGCAGUGACAUCUAUAUUAAUCGUAUGGGUGUAGAGAUAUUAGCAUAUGAAUAAGCAACGGCUAACUCCGUGCC